AUGCUUGAGGUGGCAGAGCUCAGCACCACUGGCUCUCAGGCGUUCUUCGUCAGUCUCUCGCACUGUUCGGCCUGUGCAACUCCGUGGGAUGGAGUUGGGUGUGCUGGACUGAGUGUGUGGCACACCUCAUGGUGUGUCCUGAAUAUCAGAGUCCUUGCCCAGACCUCGGGUAGGAAGGCUCAUAUCAAUUUCAAUUUAGCGGCGAGAAGGGGAUUAUUUUACCUUUCAGACAGUUCUUGGCAAACCCUGUUUCCUGGGCUUUCUCCCAGGGGCCCUGGAGGAAGCUCACUUGGGUCAGCAGCGCAGCCUCCCGGGUCACACUGACCAGCCGAACUUCUCUGUCCCGGGAUGAAGCCAGGACUCUGGGCCCCGCGGCCCCCUUGACUCCGGCGCGGUGUCGGUCCGAGCUGUGGGUAACAAACCCCUGUCGGUUGCGCUGGCCUGGGGUGCUCUGUCUCUUGACAGAAGGACGCAAUCAGGUCUGAAGAGGAGAGACUUCACACAAACACGGAGGAGCUCCCAGCGUCUUGCAGCGAGCAGCGCGGAGUCGGGUCAGUGGACAGGCGUGGACGCGCACUGCGCAGGCGCGGGAGGC
rnacentral:lncRNA from 1 species